AAUUGGCCUCUUGGUGAUUUGGGGCACAACACCAGAUGAGGAGAAUUCUGGGGAGAGGAGGCAGAGAGAAGCCACCAGAGAGAGAGAGAGACGCCAUGUAGUGACCGAGAAAACAAGAGGUUCGGGCAUCACUGGGUUGCUGGAGAAGAAUCAAGAUUCUUCCGUUCUGGUCAAGAAGAAGCCCUGCAGAGGCUCGGCAGUUGGGGAUGCUUCCCGCUGUUCCGGAGGGCCUGGGUUCAGUUCCCAGCACCCACGGCAGGCGGUCCACAGCCAUCUGUAACUCCGGUUCCCUGGCAUCAGAAGCCCUUUUCUGACCUCCGUGGGAACUCACACACGAAACCCUCACAUACACGAAAGUCAAAGCACAUCUUAGAAACUACCAGUUAUGGCCUGUGCUUCAGAUUUAAAACAAGAGAGAGCCGGUGGCAGGCGCGCUCUCUGCUCCCGGCGCUCUUCUCAGGGGUGCAACAAGACUAACUGUAACGCUGACAGACCGUCUUCUUCAAGAAUGAAGUAUGAGCCACUCGUGGUGGCCACUCCUUCGAUCCCCCCUUCAAGAGGCCGAGGCGGGAGGACUUUGUAUUCGAGUCCAUCCUGUGCUACAUAGUGAAACCUCAUCUGAAAAAAUAAAAUAAAAAGUACAUACCAGAACUGUCA